UACGUAGGGGCGAGCGUUGUCCGGAAUGAUUGGGCGUAAAGGGCGCGUAGGCGGCUUGUUAAGUCUGGAGUGGAAGUCCUCUUUUCAAGGGAGGAAUUGCUUUGGAAACUGGCGGGCUUGAGUGCAGGAGAGGUUAUCGGAAUUCCCGGUGUAGCGGUGAAAUGCGUAGAGAUCGGGAGGAACACCAGUGGCGAAGGCGGGUAACUGGACUGCAACUGACGCUGAGGCGCGAAAGUGUGGGGAGCAAACAGGAUUAGAUACCCGGGUAGUCCCUGAGCGGGCU
rnacentral:rRNA from 1 species